rnacentral:lncRNA from 1 species
UUCCCACUUACUGUAAAAAUUAAUAUUACUUUUUAAGAAAAUAACAUAACAGAUUUGAAGGUAAACUGGAUGUAAUACUCAAGAAACAAACGUUGAUUUAAACACAAGAGACAUUUAUUAAUACAUGACGUACAACAAACGGAAUAACUCACUUGCGAUCAAGAACCCAUACAGCAGGCUUGAAAACGGACGAGAGCCAUAGCUUUCCGUCAUCUCUCUCAUAAACCUCACUUACAUACUGCAUAGUCUCCCCUUCUUUGUCCUCAAGGAUCUCAAGUAUCUCCCCUGUCUCCCCCGAGAUUUUCACGGCCACACCAUGCGGCUUAAAACUGUUCAUUAACCCAAUCAGAAACUCCAACUUCACCGUCUUUUCAACCAGCUUCCCUAACCAUUGAUUAUUCACGAUCAACCUUCCUAUCAAAUUUUUCUUACAAUGUAUGCCAAGCCAAAAAUCUCCCGUCGGUGUCAGACGGAUGUUGUCAGGAUAACCCGGAACCUUUGCAAAGAUGUCACGGGUCCCGGCUUUAGGACCUUUAAUCCAAUAUCGAUGGACAAGGCCUGUGGAAGACUCACAUGAGAUUACAAAAGACCUGUCUUUGUUUAGAGCCAAACCAUUGUUACAACGGAGAUUGUCCAUGACAACUUUGGACUCUUUUGUCUUCUUAUUGUAUUUGAUCACUCUUCCCGACCGCUCACCGUUGAAAACCACGUAAAAUACAUCCCUUACCGACAAAAACCCCGUUAGAAUUAGAUUGUUUCAAAUGCUAGUUUCUUAAAAACAUAUUUUGAAUGGUAUUAUAAUAUGUGUUUUCAUUUGAAAAAAAAAAACCUAUAAAACACUAAACGCGCAAACAAACUGUGGACAGAGCCAAAUCUGAAAAAAAGAGCACAAACAUCUUUAUAAGUUAAUUUUAAUAAAUAAAAUACCUACAAUUGAGAUAAUUCUUUUUUUUUAAUAUUUGGGAAUCAAAACGGAUACCCAGGACCGGAUCUGAUUAUGGAAUACUUAAUUCACAAAAGGGAAACCGUAAGUGCAUAAUACAUCAGUUUCAAGUUUGAAACAUACCUGAAAUGAUACUUGUCACUACUGUCAUUGAAGUAUAAGUCAUCUUCCUCUUCAUCAAUAUCCAUCUGGUUCGCAAACAUUACUUUGCGACCUUCAGCCUGGUCCACUACCAACUCAGCCAAGCCUCCCUCUGGCCCGACCUUCAUGACCCCAAGGUAACCAUCACAGAUGUACAAAUCUCCUGUUUUCUUCUCGAAAGUGAGUCCUAAUGGCCUUCCACAAGUAGGCACUACUCCAUGGCGUGAACAGUUCCCUCUACGAACAAAAAGUAGAGAAACAUGAAAAACUUCCAAUACGAGAUGGUAGAUAGAACACACAAAGAUUAAUGUUUUAGAAUUUACACAUAGACAUUAAUAUACAAUUUUAUUUAUUAUUUUAAUUUAGCUUUUAAUUAAUUUAUUAUUUUUUUACUUAUUCGAUCACUCAUAUUUUCACACUGUAAUUUAUAAUUUAAAAUAUAAUAAAAUAAAUUAAUUAAAAUAUUAACAAUCCAAACUCUCAAAUAUUUGCACACUUGAAUAUUAGAUCGAUCACUAAAAUAUAAUUAAAAAUCCCAUCUGAAUUACCCUAAAAGUCAGACAACAACAGAUCCAAAUUCAUUGAAAGAAAAUAACAAAUAAUUAAAGAAAAAGUUUUUCCCUCAAAUUAGUUGAUUACUUUUAGUAAACGUUGUGUCGGUGUGUUCUAAUAAACGUUGUAAUAUUACUAAGAAAAUUUAAAACCUGUGUGGGGAUGUGUGUGCGAACUCAACCCAACCAAGAUCAUCGCCGCGCCACUUGAGAAUACGGCCGUCCACGACCGCAGCAUAAGGACCUCCUCCUUGUGGAUCCCACUCAAUGCUCUCUGGUCCAUCAACAGGAAGUGGUAUGGUCUUACCCAUCGGCAAUACAUUUUUAGCGCCCUCUAGAUUGUACGGCGUAAUUAGGGUCUGAUACGAAAUUACGGCCAAAACGGCAAAAACAGCCGGAACGGCGGCCCAAGUUGGAACUCUCUCACUAAUCGGCAUUAUUCACUGAAAAAUAUGUUGGUUGAAGAGAGACGUGUGUAACGCCACAAUAACACUAGCUGUUGUUAGCGUAGUUGAUUACUUUAACAAUAAUUAUAUAACAUCAGGAAUAGGCCAGAGUCUAGAUAUUUCUCUCUUUGCGUGGUUGCAGAUAUAUACACGUUUUUGCCAUUUCUGUUGAAGUGCCAGCUGUUUGAUAUAAGUAUCGUGAAUGAAUAACAUGUGUGGAAUCAAUGAAAGCGACGAUGAUGUGUUUAGGUAAGACUGACACUUCCUUUCGUCUACUAAGGUCGUAGUUGUUUAAUUCUUUCGCGUUGGACUAGUGUGCAUUGGACCUUGGUGGUUGUACAUGUAACAAUUUUAACAUUUACUAGAUUUUGAUCCGCGGUACAUAAGUUAUCUCUUUUUUAAAUUAUAUUUUCAGAUUUUGGAUAAUUCUUACUAUUCUUUAUAAUAAUCAAUUAUCUAAUCAAAAUCAAUUAAAAUUUCGUUUUUAUUUUUUAAUUUAUUUAUAUAUUUUAUUCAUUAAGGGUAUAAACGAUAUUAACCACUCUAACUUUCAACUUGAGAGCUUCAUUGCAAAAAUUUACUUCGCAAAUAAUAGUAUAGAUAUUUGAUAUUUAUCUAUAGUUUGAUUAUGUGGUAUAUUUACUAAUUUUACUUUUAAAUAAAUAUAUUUUAAAAAUAUUAAACCAUGUUUAAUCCGGUCGAACCAUAUUGAUAAUCCAAAUAACUAUCCGGUUCAACUUUCGGUCUGGUUUUAAAAACAUUGGUGUUCGGAUACCCAUAUGAGUUCGGUUCAAAUCUAUUCGGGUUUUGAUUUUUGAUGUUAAAGAUUUAAACCCAAAUUGGAUAUUUAUAAAUUUCAGUUCGGUUGGAUAUUUGCGGAUUCAGUUCGGGUUUUAAUAACCCGUUAAAUUUUGUUAAAAAUUAAUACAUACUUUAAAUUUUUCAAAAUUAAAAAAAAAAAAUAUAUAUAUAUAUAUAUAUAACAUAAAAAUUUGAAUAAUAUAUGCCAAAAUACCUAAACUUAAUAUAGAAAGUAGCUUAGCUUGAAUGUUUGGACGGAGAUUCAAUAGAUAUUUCAAGUAAUUUUGGUUUUUGAAUAUUAUUUAGCUAUUUUAGAUAUUUAAUUUUGACUAUUUGUAUAUAUUUUUUUAAGUAUUUUUGACAAUUUCAAAAUAUCUUAUAUGAUUUAGAUUUUUUUUAUAUUAAAUCUGAAAAUAAUUAAUAUAUUUGAGUAUAUACAUGUAAUUCAGAUCUAUUUGGAUACCCGAAACAUUUUGGUUUGGUUCGGUUCGGUUCGAAUUUUGUAGAUACCAAAAUUUUAAACCCGCUUGAAUCUUUAGCCUGUUUCAGUCCGGGUUAUAUACGAUUUUUUCGGAUCGGAUUCAUUUUCUUUUGUCCAGCCCUAGCUGAGACGAUGAAACGAAAGCCGCCUUUGAAAAAACCAAACCAGCAUUUAAUGGGCCUAUAUAAGUAGAGCCUGUUGAAAACCCUAAAUCCUUAAUGGGGCUAGUUAAAGGCUUCGAAUGUUACCAACCGUCACAUCCCCGCACCGCAGUUAACAGUAACAAAAAUCUCUACAUAUACUAUAUAUUUUUAUAUUUUUGUAACUGUUAAAAUUAUACCGCAGUUAAACCGCUUGUCCCGCACCGUUCAAACCGCAAUUAUCAUUCGGAGCCAAAGAAUAACAAGCCUUGAAAAUGUCACCCCCGGCUCAAAAGGGAGGGCGAACUACACAUCCGUCCGGGACCUAGGAUAUUGAACCAAUUCACUCAUUUAAUUACACGAGGGCCCAUAAUGUUUUUUAAAUCAUUUAUAAUGCAUUAAAAAAAUUUGUCCAGGAGCUUAAUAGAAAGUUAAGCCCCUUUCAACAGCAUGUCUCCUCUGCUACACGUCUCCUCUCUCUAGAUCAAUCAUAUAUGUCUCAGAUCAGAUUCUCAAGAAAAUUUAGAAGGAGUUCUCCCCAAAAUAAUGGACCUCACAACUAUAUACACAUACACAAAUAUGUAUAUAUACAUAUAUGACAAGUUUAGAAUUUCAGUGGGUAGAGAAAUCCCAUUGGAAGUGCUUUAGGUCCACUCUUUUGGGCAUUUUGUUAGUGUUUUACCGAAACCUUUUUUUUUGUCGAUAACCGAAACCAUUCAAGCACAUAGCUUUUAUUCGUAGGACCCUUGUUUUCUUUCUUCCAGAAAGCUAUAUAAAAUCUGCUAUUUUAUUUAGGGGAAAGUUGGCCAUAAAAGCUAAUCGAAUGCAAAUCAAAAUCGAAGUCAUUUUUUCAAGUAACACUUUUUCUUUCCACCACAAAAGUUGCAAAGGUUUGAAAUCAAUACCGACAUGAUAAUGCAGUCGGUACCGAAAUCAUUAUAUUAUUAUUUUUAUUUUAUUUUUUUAUAAACUCUGUUAAUGACUAACUAGUUGUUCGUUCUUAUUAGAAAUCGUACUAUAAUUACUAUAGGUUUUGAUCCAAAUCCCCUGUUUAUUCUGUUCUUUUUUCCAUUGAUACUUUUUGGUUGUUUUGAAUUGGCACCAUACUUUUAGCAAAAAACGUCAUACAAAAAAAUGUAAAAUGGCUAUGUUCGUUUACGUAUCGCUGUGACUUGCAAUCUGCGAUUUACGAUCUACAAGUUGCGACUAAUCACAGCUUAAUAUUGGUCUUGUUAUCGAGCGACUGAUCGUGUGAUUAAGUCACGGGUUGUAAAUUAUAGGUUGUGUUCGUUACGAUCGCACGACCAAUCAUAAAUAACAAUUUUAAAUCACCGAAAAAUGAGAUUACAGAUUUAAAAUUUUUGCAACCUGCUGCAGUUCGUAAGAACCUGUGAAAUAAAAUGAACAACAUUUGCUUGCAUAUCUCAGUUCAGGUUGCAAGUCGCAUAAAUCAUAAAUGGGUGAUAACAAAACGAACAAUAUUUGGUCGAUGAUCGUGACUAUAGAUCAUACCUAUACGCAAGCGAACAUGACCAACAAUUUUAAGCACAAAACUAUGAAUGUCUAAGAACAUCAUUAGUGAAAAAUAUUUAAACCAAAAUCUCUCAAAUGUAUAUAUAUUUUAAUUGGAUAUCUUAGUCAUUAAAAAUCAAUCUCAAAGUCUAGUUUUGAAAUGUCUAAAUAUGUAUAUUUAUAUAUACAUUUGAGAGAUUUAAUUAAUGUAAAAACUCUAUUUAUGAUGUUCCCACUUACUGUAAAAAUUAAUAUUACUUUUUAAGAAAAUAACAUAACAGAUUUGAAGGUAAACUGGAUGUAAUACUCAAGAAACAAACGUUGAUUUAAACACAAGAGACAUUUAUUAAUACAUGACGUACAACAAACGGAAUAACUCACUUGCGAUCAAGAACCCAUACAGCAGGCUUGAAAACGGACGAGAGCCAUAGCUUUCCGUCAUCUCUCUCAUAAACCUCACUUACA